rnacentral:rRNA from 1 species
CCUACGGGAGGCAGCAGUGAGGAAUAUUGGUCAAUGGACGAGAGUCUGAACCAGCCAAGUAGCGUGAAGGAUGACUGCCCUAUGGGUUGUAAACUUCUUUUAUAUGGGAAUAAAACGUUCCACGUGUGGGAUUUUGUAUGUACCAUAUGAAUAAGGAUCGGCUAACUCCGUGCCAGCAGCCGCGGUAAUACGGAGGAUCCGAGCGUUAUCCGGAUUUAUUGGGUUUAAGGGGAGCGUAGGUGGAUUUUUAAGUCAGUUGUGAAAGUUUGCGGCUCAACCGUAAAAUUGCAGUUGAAACUGGCAGUCUUGAGUACAGUAGAGGUGGGCGGAAUUCGUGGUGUAGCGGUGAAAUGCUUAGAUAUCACGAAGAACUCCGAUUGCGAAGGCAGUUCACUGGACUGCAACUGACACUGAGGCUCGAAAGUGUGGGUAUCAAACAGGAUUAGAUACCCCAGUAGUC